ACCAACCUCAUUCCUCAGACACUCUCUCUUAAUAUUCCUAGCAUAUUCUAAACAGAAUUAAGUCAUGAAAAGCCUUUCAUUUUCUGCCAUUGUCCUUCUUGUUCUCUUGCUUUCUGCUGGCAAUGAGUCAAGGAUGGCAAAUGCUAUCGGCAGUUGUGAUGUACUUGGCCAUGGAGGAGGUUGCGCAAUAGAUGAAUGCUUCAACAGUUGCAGGAUGAAAUAUGGGCAAGAUGCUCAUGGAUUUUGCUACACCAUCAAUGCACCCAAUGAUACUUGCAUUUGUCGUCACCCUUGUUAAUUCAUUUUUAGUUUAUUAUAUGCAUCUUUUUGCUACCUAUAAAUAAACGGAUGUUUACAAUCCAAAAUGAUUAAUGUUUGAAUCAA